rnacentral:snRNA from 1 species
GUCUUUAUCUGGGCCACCGGAUAAAAUCGAAACGAUAUGGCGAAGAUUUGCAUGGCCCUUGUGCAAAGAUGACGCGACACACCCAAAAUAAUAACAAAGAAAC